CUCAGUUAUCUUACAAAAAUGCGUCUAAGUGUAUCGAUUCAUCUGUUGGUAUUGGGUUUAUUCAGCGUUUGCUGGACCACAACCGCCAAUAGUACUGAAACAAAUACGGGAUUCGGAAACGAACUUCUCCUUGUAAAAUUGGACUACCUAGAAUACAAAUUAUUAGAACUACAGGUGCAAACCAGUGAGAUAUUGGAACAACAGAAAAUAUUUGCUAGCCAUGAGAGAAUAAUGAAUGCCAUAUUUGAACUGAAUCCUCGUAAACAUCCAUCCGAUAAUAGUAAACUUCUGAUGGCGAUGUUGAAUGGAAAUCU